rnacentral:rRNA from 1 species
UGCAGAGGGUGCGAGCGUUAAUCGGAAUUACUGGGCGUAAAGCGCGCGUAGGCGGCUUUGCAAGCCGGAUGUGAAAUCCCCGGGCUUAACCUGGGAACUGCAUUCGGGACUGCAUUGCUCGAGUAUGGGAGAGGGAAGUGGAAUUUCAGGUGUAGCGGUGAAAUGCGUAGAUAUCUGAAGGAACAUCAGUGGCGAAAGCGACUUCCUGGACCAAUACUGACGCUCAUGUGCGAAAGCGUGGGGAGCAAACAGG